rnacentral:tRNA from 2 species
GCGGGCGUAGUUCAGUGGUAGAACGAAAGCUUCCCAAGCUUUAGACGAGGGUUCAAUUCCCUUCGCCCGCUCCA